AUACGUAGGGUCCGAGCGUUAUCCGGAAUCAUUGGGCGUAAAGAGCUCGUAGGCGGUUCAGCAAGUCGGCUGUGAAAGUUCGAGGCUCAACCUCGAAAUUGCAGUCGAUACUGCUGUGACUUGAAUUCAGUAGAGGAGAAUGGAAUUCCCGGUGUAGCGGUGAAAUGCGCAGAUAUCGGGAGGAACACCAGUAGCGAAGGCGGUUCCCUGGGCCGAUAUUGACGCUGAGGAGCGAAAGCGUGGGGAGCAAACAGCAUUAGAAACCCCAGUAGUCC
rnacentral:rRNA from 1 species